ACUCCUACGGGAGGCAGCAGUGGGGAAUAUUGCACAAUGGGCGCAAGCCUGAUGCAGCAACGCCGUGUGAGUGAAGAAGGUUUUCGGAUCGUAAAACUCUGUCCUAAGGGAAGAAACAAAUGACGGUACCUUAGGAGGAAGCCCCGGCUAACUACGUGCCAGCAGCCGCGGUAAUACGUAGGGGGCAAGCGUUAUCCGGAAUCACUGGGCGUAAAGGGUGCGUAGGCGGCUUAGCAAGCCAGGGGUGAAAGGCAUUGGCUCAACCAAUGUAAGCCUUUGGAACUGUUAAGCUUGAGUGCAGGAGAGGUAAGUGGAAUUCCUAGUGUAGAGGUGAAAUUCGUAGAUAUUAGGAGGAACACCAGUGGCGAAGGCGACUUACUGGACUGUAACUGACGCUGAUGCACGAAAGCGUGGGUAGCGAACAGGUUUAGAUACCCUGGUAGCACAGAG
rnacentral:rRNA from 1 species